UUUAUACUGGGAUAAACCUACUUACGUUUAAGUAGCUGAAGGUACAGUAUGAAUAAGCACCGGCUAACUCCGUGCCAGCAGCCGCGGUAAUACGGAGGGUGCAAGCGUUAUCCGGAUUUAUUGGGUUUAAAGGGUCCGUAGGCGGACUCGUAAGUCAGUGGUGAAAUCUCAUAGCUUAACUAUGAAACUGCCAUUGAUACUGCGGGUCUUGAGUAAAGUAGAAGUGGCUGGAAUAAGUAGUGUAGCGGUGAAAUGCAUAGAUAUUACUUAGAACACCAAUUGCGAAGGCAGGUCACUAUGUUUUAACUGACGCUGAUGGACGAAAGCGUGGGGAGCGAACAGGAUUAGAUACCCUGGUAGUCCACGCCGUAAACGAUGCUAACUCGUUUUUGGGUUUUCGGAUUCAGAGACUAAGCGAAAGUGAUAAGUUAGCCACCUGGGGAGUACGUUCGCAAGAAUGAAACUCAAAGGAAUUGACGGGGGCCCGCACAAGCGGUGGAUUAUGUGGUUUAAUUCGAUGAUACGCGAGGAACCUUACCAAGGCUUAAAUGGGAAUUGACAGGUUUAGAAAUAGACUUUCCUUCGGGCAAUUUUCAAGGUGCUGCAUGGUUGUCGUCAGCUCGUGCCGUGAGGUGUUAGGUUAAGUCCUGCAACGAGCGCAACCCCUGUCACUAGUUGCCAUCAUUCAGUUGGGGACUCUAGUGAGACUGCCUACGCAAGUAGAGAGGAAGGUGGGGAUGACGUCAAAUCAUCACGGCCCUUACGCCUUGGGCCACACACGUAAUACAAUGGCCGGUACAGAGGGCAGCUACUAUGCGAAUAGAUGCGAAUCUCGAAAGCCGGUCUCAGUUCGGAUUGGAGUCUGCAACUCGACUCUAUGAAGCUGGAAUCGCUAGUAAUCGCGCAUCAGCCAUGGCGCGGUGAAUACGUUCCCGGGCCUUGUACACACCGCCCGUCAAGCCAUGGAAGUCUGGGGUACCUGAAGUCGGUGACCGUAACAGGAGC
rnacentral:rRNA from 1 species